rnacentral:lncRNA from 1 species
GCAGAGCUCAAUGUCUGCAGCCUGGGGCAGCACAGAGCUGCUGCAUGGGGCACAGGCAGGGUGAGCUGGGAGAGGGAUUUCCCCCUGCUUCAGCAGUCAGUCCUCAAUGCUCCAACUGAAAGUUGUCCUGGGGUUCAACACCACACACAUCUCUGUGCAGCCCUCCCUGCGAGCGUGGAUCUGCCUCAGAGCAGCGUGGAGAGCAACAUCCACAGAGACAAGUCCCUGCACAGGACAAAUCUCUAUCCCUGCCACUCUGGCUAUUAAUCUUGUAGAAGGAGAGACAAGGAGCAGAGCUGAGUGCUUCCUUCUCCUUAGCCCUACACGGCAGCACAGUGCUCCUGUCCUGACUGCAGACACUCUUGAAGAGGCAGCAGAGCCCCGCAGACGUCUCCUCUAAAGCAGAACUAAGGAGAAAUGAAAAGAAUGGAUUUAACAGAAAGAAAUUGUCUCUGAGUAUAAUGUUUUUCCUUGUUUCCCAUGAAAAAGUGAGAUUUCUUUACGGACAAAUAGUCAAGAACAGAGUCCAUUACACUACACAGUUUUUGCCUUGAAACAUAAAUAGCUGCAUAUCAUAUAAGUGUUUGUUAUGAGGAAAUGUGUAUGCGAGAGAAAGUUAGACAUUAGCCCAUUAUUUCAUGUGGAAAGCUAUUGCUAAAGGGAGAGGAUUACUUACCAUAUUUAUUUGGUUCUUCAACUUCUCAUCCAUCUCUCUGCACAUAGAAACUUCAGCUGCAAAAUGUGGUGUUGGAUACCCCUGGUUCCAUGCCAUCCCCACCCCAGGCCCAGUGUGUGGGCACUGGCUGUGGAAUUCCAAGUCCCAGCAGGCAGCAGCAGCAUCUCAAUGUUUGCUAUAGCUGUGCUGAGUUCCAGUGUCUGGGGAAAAGCCUUCUGCUCCAGCAGCUCUAUCCCUACCCUAAAUGCACAAGAGAACUGCUCAGAUCUAUGUGCCCAUUAGUCUUCGUGUUGCACUUAAACCUUCCAAAAUAUCCCUGGUGAUGGUACAGAGCUGCAAUGAAGUGAUCAUCAAAGUAUUUCUUCUGAGUUCAAGUCUUCUACCUGAUGGUGGCAGAAAGCACUGUGCCAAACAGGGGGACUGAGAGCAUCGCUUUGCUUUGGUGAGCCCAGGGGUCGCACCUUUUGGCACUGGGCACAGUGGUGCUGUUGUGCCAGGUCGGGGGGCAGGGAUAUGGGCUGAAAGGAGCAGUUCUGUUGUGCUGGCAGCUAGAGUAGGUCAUCACGGAUCUGCAACUUGGACAUCAAAAUGAUCCUUGAGUUGCUCUCUUCCUGGGCUUGGUGUUAGAGAGCAGCUCUUUGUUCCAGCAUGUGAAAGCCAAAGGUUGGAGCCCUUUCCCAAUGCUCUCUUUUACUCUGCUUGCUGAUGUAGGUGCAGAAGCCUCAGUACUGCACACAGGAUAGAGGGAAGCAGUAAGUAACAGGGUCUUAUAUCAUCAUCUGGUAUGCUACCUCAUUCAAAGGGCUCUGUUUGAAACCUGGCACUAACAUGUACAGAACAUGUUGCAUUUUUGCCAGUACCUCUUCAAUCUGGUUUGUGAGACGUCCUGGAGGAGGUGACCUUGGACAGCAGGCAGAGCAGCAGAGCUGCAUAAUAAGAGCAUCUCUGCACCAGUGGCAGCCUGUUGGGUACAGGGCAGUUAAUAAAUAAUGAGGAUGUCAAAGAGAACA